rnacentral:lncRNA from 1 species
UCCUGUUACCUCCCAUAUAGAUAUCAAAAUAACACCACUUACCCCUGAUAAGCCAAGGAUUAUUUCACAUCCUCUUUUUUUUUUCUUUUCUCUUUUCUUCCAGCCUCCCAUGAAGCAUACAAGUGGCUGCGGGAGAAUCUGCUUGAAAAAGAAAGCAUCAU